CUACAGAUAGUUAUUUUGGCAUUGAUUGACGCUGAACGAGUUUUCGUAGAGGCGUAUAUUAACUUCUCACUUUCCCGCAGACGGAAUGACGGAGGACAUUCUUUGGAAACUGCAAUCUGUAUAAUUGUGUUUUUCUUAGCUUUCAAAGGCCGAGCCAAAUACUGUAACGUGGUGUCAACACUCGUUUAAAGGGAGCACCCUCUUGGCUCUUGUAGUUAUUGCUUUAGUGCAUCUUGAAAAACGACUGAGGCCCGACUCACUGGGUGGCCAGAUAAGCCAUUAUACUGCAUCCACCGCGGCUCCUCAAGCUAGUGGAUGAUGGCCAUUGUCCCGCGUGACAUCAUCACACAUCACAGACCCAAACGUUCCCCCUGUGGCCGUUCACAGUUGAGCCUCCUUUUUUUUCAGUCUUUCAGAAUCAUUUAUUUUCUACCUUUGUCUCGUUUUUAAAGCAGCCGGCCGUGUGUUUUUUCUUUGGGCCCUGUGGGCAGUAGUGGGGCCUCCAUGGCAGUAAAAAGGGUUGGGUUGUGUGUGCAUAGUGAGGGCUGGGGGGGGGGUCUGGAUCAGCUGAUGCUCAUGUGGCUGGCCUGGCCUUGCUCCCUGCCACCCAGCAGGGAUCAGCAACAGGCUAACUGUUACCUACAACACAUUCCUGCUUCAUUCCCAAGCCUUUCUCUGCCGGUCCAAACGGCGAAUCGGGGACACCACGAGAACAAAACGACAGAAGUUUCUGUUGUCCAAUCAAACUUUGGAUGCCCCGCGCAGUGUCUCAGUUAUCAACAUGAACACAGUGGUUGGCAAGAUGUACGUAAGAGUACGCACUGUGUGGGGUUCUAACAACCUACCCCACUGAGCGUAAUUAACUGCCAUGUCUUGUUUAUUAAACAUUUUCUUACAUGUGUUCCAUAUGUCAAAUCAGAGUCAUUUCACAAAAAUCGGCCACACCUAUUUAAUAUGAAUGAUAGUGAAUGCUAAGCUCGUUCCACGGCUAGGCCAACUGACAGCUGCAAAAUACAUGUGCACUUCACUUUGUUGAAAGCACAUUUCAACAAAUAAAAUCAAAAUGAAACCAGUAUGUUCGUUCACAAACACAGCCAUGCAUCUUAUUAAUCGCCAAUGCUCAACAGUUGGACCACAAUUGGCUGAAUCUUGUCCUUAUUUUCCCCAUGCAACCACACACACACACACACACCCACACACACACACCCACACACACACACACACACACACACACACACACACACACACACACACACACACACACACACACACACACACACACACACACACACACACACACACAGGUGCGCAGACUGAAACACACCCACAUCCACACACACACGUGGCCUUGUAGCUUGUCCCUCUUGAGAUGUUCACGUCUAUUUGCAUGCUGAGAUACGACCCACCUGGGGGUCCACAAGCACUAGGAGCCAGCGCAGCACACGGCCAGACACACAC
ensembl:lncRNA